rnacentral:tRNA from 1 species
GUAGACGUUAGCUCAGUGGUUAGAGCAGAGGCCUCCGGCUCUCGGGUCCGCGAGUUCGAGGAGUCCCGUCGUCUACU